rnacentral:rRNA from 1 species
CAGUUCGGAUUGUAGUCUGCAACCCGACUACAUGAAGCUGGAAUCGCUAGUAAUCGCAGAUCAGAAUGCUGCGGUGAAUACGUUCCCGGGUCUUGUACACACCGCCCGUCACACCAUGGGAGUUGGAAAUGCCCGAAGCCAGUGACCCAACCGUAAGGAGGGAGCUGUCGAAGGUGGAGCCGAUGACUGGGGUGAAGUCGUAACAAGGUAGC